CAGUCGCCGCGGGAAUACGUAGGUGGCAAGCGUUGUCCGGAAUUAUUGGGCGUAAAGGGCUCGCAGGCGGUUUCUUAAGUCUGACGUGAAAGCCCCCGGCUCAACCGGGGAGGGUCAUUGGAAACUGGGAAACUUGAGUGCAGAAGAGGAGAGUGGAAUUCCACGUGUAGCGGUGAGAUGCGUAGAGAUGUGGAGGAACACCAGUGGCGAAGGCGACUCUCUGGUCUGUAACUGACGCUGAGGAGCGAAAGCGUGGGGAGCGAACAGGAUUAGAUACCCCGGUAGUCCCUGUCUCUUAUAC
rnacentral:rRNA from 1 species